ACUUGUGUACACAAAUUAUAACAGUGUAAAAUUAAUCAUAUUUGGCCUAUUACUUCUGUUGCUAUUAAACCCACUUUAAAUUGGCUGGUUUUGCAAGUUGUGGUAUUAAGUAUAGUAAAUCUGACUGGAUAAUGCUGUACUACCAAUCUUGCCAGAUGUAGAAACUGG